CAAGUCAGAAGUGAAAGGCUAUGGCUCAACCAUAGUAAGCUUUUGUAAACUGUUAAACUUGAGUGCAGGAGAGGAAGUGGAAUUCCUAGUGUAGAGGUGAAAUUCGUAGAUAUUAGGAGGAACACCAGUGGCGAAGGCGACUUUCUGGACUGUAACUGACGCUGAGGCACGAAAGCGUGGGGAGCGAACAGGAUUAGAUACCCCUGGUAG
rnacentral:rRNA from 1 species